rnacentral:tRNA from 1 species
GGGACCGUAGCCAAGUGGUAAGGCAAGGGACUGCAACUCCCUGAUCAUCGGUUCGAAUCCGUUCGGUCCCUCCA